CAAGAAGCUACACUCAUGAGUCUCACCUAAACUCGAAUCUGAUUUAGAUGACAUCAUCCUGGACUUUGAGUUGAUGAAACCUUGGAGGUCUUGGGAGUAAAUUGCUUCAAGAUUCAGAGCAACCUGAGAAGGUUGAAAGUUUUCUUGGAAUCAUGGAAGGUCAAGAUGAAAGGAUGCUUUCAAGUUAUUUAAAUCCACAUGUGAAACCUGGAGAGGGAAUGAAGCCAGAUACAUUUUUCAGUGCCCAUUGCAGUUAAUGUGUCCCUAUGACUGAGUUUUAACCAAUGGAGUGUGGGUAAUGUGCACCACUUCCAGGCCUGGGCAUUAAAAG